rnacentral:SRP_RNA from 1 species
GCCAAGUGCAGUGAUGCCUGUAGUCCUAGCUACUCAGGAGGCUGGGGAGGGAGGAUUGCUUGAAUCCAGGAGUUCUGAGCUGUACUACUGCACUAUGCACUAAGCAUGUCUGCACUAAGUUCAGCAUCAAUGUGGGACCUCUCUGGGGCAGGGGACCGCCCCAUUACCUAAGGAGGAAUGAACCGACCCAGGUUGGAAAAAGAGCAGGUCACAACUCCUAUGCUGAGUACAAGAGUAGCUGAAGCCUGCCCGUGAACAGCCACAGCACUCCAGCUGGGACAACAUAGUGAGACCCUUUCUCUA